CAGUAGCCGCGGGAAUACGUAGGGUGCAAGCGUUAAUCGGAAUUACUGGGCGUAAAGCGUGCGCAGGCGGUUAUAUAAGACAGAUGUGAAAUCCCCGGGCUUAACCUGGGAACUGCAUUUGUGACUGUAUAGCUAGAGUACGGCAGAGGGGGAUGGAAUUCCGCGUGUAGCAGUGAAAUGCGUAGAUAUGCGGAGGAACGCCGAUGGCGAAGGCAAUCCCCUGGGCCUGUACUGACGCUCAUGCACGAAAGCGUGGGGAGCAAACAGGAUUAGAUACCCGAGUAGUCCCUGUCUCUUAUAC
rnacentral:rRNA from 1 species